rnacentral:rRNA from 1 species
UGCGUAGGCGGGUAUAUAAGUCGAGGGUGAAAGCCUCUAGCUCAACUAGAGAAGUGCCCUCGAAACUAUAUGUCUUGAGAGAGAUAGGGGCAUACGGAACUUCCGGUGGAGCGGUGAAAUGCGUAGAUAUCGGAAGGAACGCCGGUGGCGAAAGCGGUAUGCUGGAUCUUUUCUGACGCUGAGGCACGAAAGCUAGGGUAGCGAACG